rnacentral:rRNA from 1 species
AUUGAACGCUGGCGGCAGGCCUAACACAUGCAAGUCGAGCGGAUGAGAGGAGCUUGCUCUUCGAUUCAGCGGCGGACGGGUGAGUAAUGCCUAGGAAUCUGCCUAGUAGUGGGGGACAACGUUUCGAAAGGAACGCUAAUACCGCAUACGUCCUACGGGAGAAAGUGGGGGAUCUUCGGACCUCACGCUAUUAGAUGAGCCUAGGUCGGAUUAGCUAGUUGGUAGGGUAACGGCCUACCAAGGCGACGAUCCGUAACUGGUCUGAGAGGAUGAUCAGUCCCACUGGAACGGAGACACGGCCCAGACUCCUACGGGAGGCAGCAGUGGGGAAUAUUGGACAAUGGGCGAAAGCCUGAUCCAGCCAUGCCGCGUGUGUGAAGAAGGCCCUCGGGUCGUAAAGCACUUUAAGUUGGGAGGAAGGGCUUACAGCGAAUACCUGUGAGUUUUGACGUUACCGACAGAAUAAGCACCGGCUAACUUCGUGCCAGCCGCCGCCGUAA